CAGGACCCUGGCAGCUGAGGUGGCCUGGGGAUGGUUCUUCCCCCCUUCCCACAUCCCAAGGUUCUGCCCUGAAGGACCCGGGCAAUGUAUGUCUGCUGGUAUGAUAUAAAAAUUAGCUACAAAUCUACAACAUUCUAAGCGUAAGAACAAAUCCAAAAAAGAUCACUGAUAAGCGACCUGUACAGCAUGUUCAUCAAUGUAACUGAAAGACAAAUGUUCCAGCUUCUUAACUCUUUCCAGUGUGAAUGAAAUGAAAUAAAAAAU